GGCACCUCUGUCAAACAUGUAUUUCACUAUACACAUGCCGUCCGCUUCUUGUUCUACCUGUCACUUCAUACCAGGAGAAUGGCCCAGAAGCUAGAGCAAAAGAUAUAUAUACCUAGUUGUCACACAAAAUGUCAAAAGACCACACCUUCGUAACUCAGUUGCCAACCUUCUUUUUCCGGAAUUCAGAGGGACUGGUCUUUGCUUGUGAUCUCCAGGUUUUCAAGGCAUUCAUGCAAGGCCUGGUAGAAUUUACUCUCAAGAUAAAUCCAUAUGCAACUACAAUCUCGAGCGACGAAUGCAUUUGAUACCUUUGACAGGUGAGUGCAUUCUGGCAGAAGCAAUUGGAUGUCCAUUCAGAGAACCUGAAAAUCUAAUAUCCCAGCCUUCAACAUUCUUGGGGACACAAACAUC
rnacentral:misc_RNA from 1 species